UACUUAAGUAAGGGGGCGUUCGCCUAUGUCAUUAUUUUUAGGAAACCGUAAGACAGUUACUCUAUGGUAGAAUAAUUUAUUGGUAAUAUUUUUUAAUUUUACCUAUUUUCUUUGGACAUAGUGACAGUGGUUAACAGUAGUUUACCAAUAUGAGAAUAUUUCAAGAUGAGUAUUGACUACCUUUGAUUCCUGAUGGUAUGGUCCAUAUGAACAUAAACAAACCUGUGGACAUGGGGUAUGAAGUGCAGUAGAAACACACUAGAUGCCUUUAGAAGGUGGAUCGCUCAUGUUAUAAUAGUUCUGAAAGGCUGUGAUCCAUGUGGUAGGGGUGUUGUAAAGUUCAACACACGGCCUCACAUAGCAUACACAAUGGCCUCCGUGGACAAGCCAGAGUCUGAUCAACAUGAUGAUGUUGUCACCACUGAUGGUCAAAGUAUACGUCGUCUACACUCAGCUUCAGGUUUCUCUCAGGAAGAGGAUGGUGUCUUCUGUAAGAAUGACCCUUACAAAGCCCUGCAGAGGUCCCAGUCAGAUGCAGCACUCCUGCACUCCCCUCAUGAAUCACAGCCGAAGCUGUCCAACCUUGUCAGUAUGGCAGAGAAUUUCAAUGGAGGCACAAAUAUAUCUGAGUGUUCCAAAGUAUACCUUGAUUUGUCUCGUGCUGAGGCAUUUGAGAAGGUGGAACUCGGAGAGAGUCAAGGUAGAAUGGUACGAGUAUCAUCUGGUCGAUUUUUGGAAACAAUCUUGCAAGAUGAAGAGCUCCAGACAGGAGAUCUGAGUCAUGUUUAUAGCCAGCAUUCUCUCUCCAGUGACAGCAAGUCAAGCCUUGGAUGCAGCACGAGUGAGGAUGACAUUUCAGGGAGAAUUUCUACUUGUGUAGAGAAGACUUCUUCUUCAUCAGUGAAAGUGGUCAAGACAAGUCUAGGUCAGCCUAGUGAGCAGGCCAAUAAACUUAAAGCCAAUAUGAAAUCUAGUUUUCAGAUAUACUCUCAUUCCUUGAAACAGAACAUUCGCCAGCUGCAGAUGGGAUCUGUUCCAGAACAGAUAAAUGCCUUGCAAGAAUUGAAUGUACUCAUAGCUCAAGCAUGGUCAAUGCAGAUAUAUGGUCGAGACCUUGCUUAUAGUCUGUGUGAUAUCCUGAGGACAGAACGUGCACUGGACAUUAUAGUCAAUAACUGUGCAUCCAGUAAUAAGGAAUUACGAACUGCUUCUGCAUUUUUAUUGGAACAAGUUCUCACAACAGGCAAUAGAAAGCGUGUGGCUGAAGCUGGGUUAGAGACAGUAGUAAAGAUGACUAUUACAGCUAAAGGUGAUUGUGAAUUGGCUCGUACAAGUACAGGAAUCCUAGAAAGCCUUUUUAAGACAUCUGAAGAAACAUGUACAAAUGUUAUCAAGCUUGGUGGUCUGGAUGUUAUUUUACAUUGGUGUCGCUGUAAUGACCGCUUGACCCUAAGACAUUGUGCAAUAGCUCUUGCCAACUUGGCCUUGUAUGGUGGCCCAGAAAACCAACAUCAAAUGACCAAACGUAAGGUCCCUGAAUGGUUGUUUCCUUUAGCCUUUAUUAAUGAUGACAGUGUCAGAUACUAUGCUUGUCUAGCAAUUACGGUGCUGGUAGCAAACAAAGAGAUCGAAGCUGCAGUAGAGGCAUCUGGUACCCUAGGGUUGGUCAGUCCUUUCCUUACCAACCAUAACCCAGCAGAGUUUGCCCAGAUGGACACUUCACAUCGUCAAGGGCGGUCACUAGGCUGGCUUCGUCGUCUUGUCCCAGUCCUGUCAAGCAAGAGGGAGGAGGCUCAAGCUCUAGCUGCCUUUCACUUUGCCAUGGAAGCAGGAAUCAAGGCUGAGCAAAACAAGAAGGAGGAACUGUAUGAAAUUGGCUGUGUGGAACCCCUAAAGCGAUUGGCAAGCACCCCAAACUCAACAGCAUCACAGCUGGCUGCAGAGGCACUGAAGAUAAUUGGGGAAGAGAUACCCCGCAAGCUGUCUCAACAGGUGCCUCUGUGGAAUGUGGAGGAUGUGGUCUAUUGGGUCAAUCAGGUGGGGUUUGAGAGCUAUGCUGGCAUGUUUGAGAAGUGCUGCGUAGAUGGUGACCUUCUACUGCAGCUUAUGGAGGACGAGCUAAUCAGCAGUUUGGGAAUGGAUUGCAGGAUUGCUAGGAAGAGAUUUGUAAGAGAGUUGCGUGAUCUGAAGAUAUCAGCAGAUUAUACAUCAUGUGAUCCCAGCAAGCUGGACGAUUGGUUGAGUGAGGUGGCCCCAGUGUUGUCCCAGUACACAUACCAGAUGCUGCACUGUGGGGUAGAUCGCAAGAUGCUGGCUCUACUGACAGAGGAACACUUACAAACCGACUGCAAUAUUAGCAAUGGUGUGCACCGCAUGAUGAUGCUUCAGAGGGUGAGAGAAUAUGAACAAGCAGGCCUCCCCACCAUGCUGACAAGUCCCCAGCUUAUUUGUAGAGACAUCACUGAUGGAGCUUUUAACAGUUCAGAGAAAACCAUUGAUGCUUUCAUCAGCUACCGUCGAUCUAACGGAUCACAGCUAGCCAGCCUGCUGAAGGUCCAUCUACAGCUUCGUGGCUUCUCUGUCUUUAUUGACAUUGAACGGCUUCGUGCAGGCAAAUUUGAUGAGAACCUGCUGUAUAGCAUUAAAAUGGCGAAAAAUUUCAUCCUGAUUCUAACUUCCAAUGCCCUGGACCGCUGUUUUGGUGAUGCGGACCAGAAGGACUGGGUUCACAAGGAGAUUGUUGCAGCAUUAGAGAACAAGUGCAACAUUAUCCCUGUAAUGGAUAACUUUGACUGGCCAUCGCCAGACCUCCUGCCAGAUGAUAUGAAACACCUCAGCUUCUUUAAUGGAAUCAGAGAGAUGAACUGUGUGAGAUCCAGCUGCUGAAGAAAAGUGGUCCCAACAAGUACAGGAAGCAGCGCCCUCUCAUAGUCGACACAUGACCCGUGGAUCCACGACUACCAGGAUGCCUGUGUGGACAAACUGGAGCAGUUCCUCCGUGGAGAAGUCAACACAAUCACCAAGCGAAGCCAGCUAGUCAGCAUGGGUAGUCAGG
rnacentral:misc_RNA from 1 species